rnacentral:SRP_RNA from 1 species
CCUCGGUCCUUCCGCAAUAAGGACUUGUGAACCCCGCCAGGCCCGGAAGGGAGCAACGGUAGCAAAGAAUUCAUGUGCCGGAAUGCGGCUGAGGUGG